CAUGCCCCCUAAAGCUGCAGGAUUCCCCACGGAGACAACCUUUACUCUGCUAAAGUCAGAGGUCGUCAGUCCCAGAGGGAAACAGUGGCGACACCCCAGUGGCUGAGGAGUCUGAGGCGUUCGGUAGACUAAUGGGGUCUGACUUCAUCAUUAAGAAGGUGUUUUGGGGAUAUGGAUUUCACAUGCACCUGUCUGAACAACAAAUAGACAGCACUAUUUACCUUGACAACAGAUUUUGCCGCAGCUAGUCAUUGGUGAGCAGCAUGCAGGCAAGAUAAUCAGAGAUGACCCUAUCCCUAAGUGCAUCCAAGCCUAAAGGGGAACAAGUGUUUCUAAGAUGAUUGACAGGAACUCCUGUGAUGCGCAAGAGGAAUCUAGAAAGAAUGAGGCCCUUGAAAAGAAAAGGCCACCUCCUCAAGAGGACAGACAGCUGGAGGUGAUCUCUGUGUGCCAGCAUUUGCAGCCUCUUCUGCCAGCUCUUUCAUGGCUUUCCGGUGCCAUAUGCCUGUUGCACCCAUGUCGCGGAGCAUACGAGAGGUUGAGGAGCCCACGAACCCCCGGCACCCCACCUCCACAGGGUAUGUGACUGCCCUCCAACCAGCCUCCCUGCACUCUGCAGCCAGAUCAAAAUAUUUGGCCCGCUUCCGCUCAUGGGCAGCUUCAAGUCCUCCUUCCCAUGGGACUGUGAGCUCCGCCAUCAGGACCACCUUGCAAGCAGCAGACCACAGCACCAGAUCUGGACAUUUCCACUAUCUCCCUGGGAAACUGGAGCUGCUUACCAAGCUCGACUGCUAGUGUCCACCCCUUGCCUGGUGUAAGGAAUCUUCCUGUGUCCUUCCGGUGGUGGGUGUUACCCCUCUCCCCAGCCCUCGUGAACUGGAUGGAAUGUAAAAUGCAACAACUUAUUUCUUGAGCCACUGAGUCUCUCAAGGGCAGGAAUGUUUUUGACGUGUUUUAUUGAGACCUUUGUGUUAUAAAUGAGAGGUUUGAACCCUUGUCUCUAUUUCCACUUUAUCUGCAAGUGACGUGUUUAACCACUGCAGCAUCAUGUCCUUCAAGUAGUGAUUUGGGGAUUUUAGUGAUUUGAUACACAGUUUAUCAUGAGCAAAAGUGAAAUUUGAACUCCAGACUCAGCGCUUUAUCUCCUGAGCCACUGAGUCUGAGAAGCUGUUUGGUUUUUUUUUUCAAGGGUUUGUUUUCUGUGAUGAAUAGCUUCAGUAAUUGUGGGAUUUAAACACAGACCACCAUGCAUUAUAAGGCAAGCAAUUAGCCACUGAGGCCCUGUCCACAAUACUGCGUUUUCGUUUAAAAACGGAGAAUUAAAACGAAAACGAUCUCCGUCCACACUAGCGUUUUACCUG